rnacentral:rRNA from 1 species
UACGAGUGCCCCAAGCGUUAUCCGGAAUUAUUGGGCGUAAAGGGUGUGUAGGUGGUUUGGUUAGUCUCCCGUCAAAUUCUUCGGCUCAACCGGGGUCCUGCGGGGGAAACGGCCAGACUAGAGGAUGCGAGGGGUCUGCGGAACUCAUGGAGUAGGGGUGAAAUCCGUUGAUAUCAUGGGGAACACCGAAAGCGAAGGCAGCAGACUGGCGCACUCCUGACACUGAAACACGAAAGCGUGGGUAGCGAACGGGAUUAGAUACCCUGUAGUCC